AGUGCGUCUGUUCAUCUGUCUGUGCGUCCAACACGCGCUGAACUCUUAGUCAUUUUUUGGGAUGUGCCGAUUUCGCCUGACAGCUGCUCAAUCAAAUCAAAUCAAGUCAAAUCAAAUAUUUGGGCUAUCUAAACACAAAACCUUUUUGACAUUCACCCCCGGCAUUCGGCAUGCGAUGGGAUCGGAUCUGUGCAUCUGUGAUGUCUAAAUUUGCAAAAAAUAUAAAAUAAAGAAAGAGAAAAAAUCAAAGUCAAUUACGUGCGCUGUCAAUCAAUGGCAGGAAUCGAAAUCGAAAUCGAAUAUCGAGAUGAAGAUCCGAAUAGGUUCAAGAAGAAAGAAGA